rnacentral:rRNA from 1 species
UGCCCUACGGGGCGCAGCAGUGGGGAAUAUUGGGCAAUGGGCGCAAGCCUGACCCAGCAACGCCGCGUGAAGGAAGAAGGCUUUCGGGUUGUAAACCUCUUUUAUCAAGGACGAAACAAAUGACGGUACUUGAUGAAUAAGCCACGGCUAACUACGUGCCAGCAGCCGCGGUAAUACGUAGGUGGCAAGCGUUAUCCGGAUUUACUGGGUGUAAAGGUCGUGUAGGCGGGACUGCAAGUCAGAUGUGAAAACCAUGGGCUCAACCCAUGGCCUGCAUUUGCAACUGUAGUUCUUGAGUGUUGGAG